rnacentral:rRNA from 1 species
CCUACGGGUGGCAGCAGUAGGGAAUAUUGCUCAAUGGGGGAAACCCUGAAGCAGCAACGCCGCGUGGAGGAUGAAGGUUUUCGGAUUGUAAACUCCUUUUGUUAGAGAAGAUAAUGACGGUCUCUAACGAAUAAGCACCGGCUAACUCCGUGCCAGCAGCCGCGGUAAUACGGAGGGUGCAAGCGUUACUCGGAAUCACUGGGCGUAAAGAGCGCGUAGGCGGGAUAGCAAGUCAGAUGUGAAAUCCUAUGGCUUAACCAUAGAACUGCAGUUGAAACUGUUAUUCUUGAGUAUGGGAGGGGAAGGCGGAAUUCAUGGUGUAGGGGUGAAAUGCGUAGAGAUCAAGAAGAAUUCUGAUUGCGAAGGCGAGCGUCCGGGGUGCAACUGACGCUGAGGCGCGAAAGCGUGGGUAGCAAACAGGAUUAGAUACCCGUGUAGUC